UACAGAGGUCCCAAGCGUUUGUUCGGAUUCACUGGGCGUAAAGGGUGCGUAGGUGGUGGGGUAAGUCGGAUGUGAAAGCUCGGAGCUCAACUCCGAAAUGGCAUUGGAAGCUACCCUGCUAGAGGAUUGGAGGGGGGACUGGAAUACUUGGUGUAGCAGUGAAAUGCGUAGAUAUCAAGUGGAACACCAGUGGCGAAGGCGAGUCCCUGGACAAUACCUGACACUGAGGCACGAAAGCUAGGGGAGCAAACAGG
rnacentral:rRNA from 1 species